UACGAAGGGGGCUAGCGUUGUUCGGAAUCACUGGGCGUAAAGCGCACGUAGGCGGAUGUGCCAGUCAGGGGUGAAAUCCCGGAGCUCAACUUCGGAACUGCCUCUGAUACAGCACGUCUUGAGUCCGGAAGAGGUGGGUGGAAUUCCUAGUGUAGAGGUGAAAUUCGUAGAUAUUCGGAAGAACACCAGUGGCGAAGGCGACUCACUGGCCCGAUACUGACGCUGAGGCGCGAAAGCGUGGGGAGCAAACAGG
rnacentral:rRNA from 1 species